AGCGAACGCUGGCGGCAGGCCUAACACAUGCAAGUCGAGCGCCCCGCAAGGGGAGCCGCAGACGGGAGAGUAACACGUGGGAACGUGCCCUUUGGUUCGGAACAACCCAGGGAAACUUGGGCUAAUACCGGAUAAGCCCUAACGGGGAAAGAUUUAUCGCCGAAGGAUCGGCCCGCGUCUGAUGACCUAGUUGGGUGGGUAAUGGCCCACCAGGGCGAAGAUCAGUAGCUGGUCUGAGAGGAUGAUCAGCCUCACUGGGACUGAGACAUGGCCAGGACUCCUACAGGAGGCAGAAGUGGGGAAUAUUGGACAAUAGGCGCAAGCCUGAUCCAGCCAUGCCGCGUGGGUUAUGAAGGCCCUAGGGUUGUAAAGCCCUUUCGGCGGGGAAGAUAAUGACGGUACCCGCAGAAGAAGCCCCGGCUAACUUCGUGCCAGCCGCCGCGGUAACAC
rnacentral:rRNA from 1 species